CUUCAGCAAAGUCAAUACAUUUUAUAUUGUAACAUCGUUUUUUUAGAUAGAUUAUAGGCCUAACAGAUUUUUUUGAAAAAUCACAAAAUAAAAUUGCAACAAAAUAAACAUAUUGGCAUUUUUUUCAAAAUCUAAGUCCUGAGAUAACAUUUCAUUAUUAUUGCACAACAUGAACAAAACUAGUAACAACAGGACCAUGAACAAAAACAAAUUUGACUGUAAUCUCCCUUGAAACUAUAUUAAUACUCAUUGAAAAAACUUAAACUAGUCAUAUCCAUUGCAUAGUAAUUAAUGAAACAACAUAAUACUAUGCUAAUUUCAAACUCUAAGUUCUUACAGUGCAGAAAUUUUG
rnacentral:lncRNA from 1 species